GUUGAACGCUGGCGGCAGGCUUAACACAUGCAAGUCGAGCGAGCGGCGGACGGGUGAGAAAUGUCUGGGACCCUGCCUGAUGGAGGGGGAUAACUACUGGAACAGGUAGCUAAUACCGCAUACCAGCAGCUGUGCCCAGAUUGGAUUAGCUAGUAGGUGGGGUAAUGGCUCACCAAGGCGACGAUCCCUAAAUGGUCUUAGAGGAUGACCAGCCACACUGGAACUGAGACACGGUCCAGACUCCUACGGGAGGCAGCAGUGGGGAAUAUUGCACAAUGGGCGAAAGCCUGAUGCAGCAACGCCGCGUGUGUGAAGAAGGCCUUCGGUUUGUAAAGCACUGUCAGCGGGGAGGCGUUACUUGCAGAAGAAGCACCGGCUAACUCCGUGCCAGCAGCCGCGGUAAUAC
rnacentral:rRNA from 1 species